rnacentral:rRNA from 1 species
GAGUUUGAUCAUGGCUCAGGACGAACGCUGGCGGCGUGCCUAAUACAUGCAAGUCGAGCGAGCGGAACUAACAGAUUUACUUCGGUAAUGACGUUAGGAAAGCGAGCGGCGGAUGGGUGAGUAACACGUGGGGAACCUGCCCCAUAGUCUGGGAUACCACUUGGAAACAGGUGCUAAUACCGGAUAAGAAAGCAGAUCGCAUGAUCAGCUUUUAAAAGGCGGCGUAAGCUGUCGCUAUGGGAUGGCCCCGCGGUGCAUUAGCUAGUUGGUAAGGUAAAGGCUUACCAAGGCGAUGAUGCAUAGCCGAGUUGAGAGACUGAUCGGCCACAUUGGGACUGAGACACGGCCCAAACUCCUACGGGAGGCAGCAGUAGGGAAUCUUCCACAAUGGACGCAAGUCUGAUGGAGCAACGCCGCGUGAGUGAAGAAGGUUUUCGGAUCGUAAAGCUCUGUUGUUGGUGAAGAAGGAUAGAGGUAGUAACUGGCCUUUAUUUGACGGUAAUCAACCAGAAAGUCACGGCUAACUACGUGCCAGCAGCCGCGGUAAUACGUAGGUGGCAAGCGUUGUCCGGAUUUAUUGGGCGUAAAGCGAGCGCAGGCGGAAGAAUAAGUCUGAUGUGAAAGCCCUCGGCUUAACCGAGGAACUGCAUCGGAAACUGUUUUUCUUGAGUGCAGAAGAGGAGAGUGGAACUCCAUGUGUAGCGGUGGAAUGCGUAGAUAUAUGGAAGAACACCAGUGGCGAAGGCGGCUCUCUGGUCUGCAACUGACGCUGAGGCUCGAAAGCAUGGGUAGCGAACAGGAUUAGAUACCCUGGUAGUCCAUGCCGUAAACGAUGAGUGCUAAGUGUUGGGAGGUUUCCGCCUCUCAGUGCUGCAGCUAACGCAUUAAGCACUCCGCCUGGGGAGUACGACCGCAAGGUUGAAACUCAAAGGAAUUGACGGGGGCCCGCACAAGCGGUGGAGCAUGUGGUUUAAUUCGAAGCAACGCGAAGAACCUUACCAGGUCUUGACAUCUAGUGCCAUUUGUAGAGAUACAAAGUUCCCUUCGGGGACGCUAAGACAGGUGGUGCAUGGCUGUCGUCAGCUCGUGUCGUGAGAUGUUGGGUUAAGUCCCGCAACGAGCGCAACCCUUGUUAUUAGUUGCCAGCAUUAAGUUGGGCACUCUAAUGAGACUGCCGGUGACAAACCGGAGGAAGGUGGGGAUGACGUCAAGUCAUCAUGCCCCUUAUGACCUGGGCUACACACGUGCUACAAUGGGCAGUACAACGAGAAGCGAGCCUGCGAAGGCAAGCGAAUCUCUGAAAGCUGUUCUCAGUUCGGACUGCAGUCUGCAACUCGACUGCACGAAGCUGGAAUCGCUAGUAAUCGCGGAUCAGCACGCCGCGGUGAAUACGUUCCCGGGCCUUGUACACACCGCCCGUCACACCAUGGGAGUCUGCAAUGCCCAAAGCCGGUGGCCUAACCUUCGGGAAGGAGCCGUCUAAGGCAGGGCAGAUGACUGGGGUGAAGUCGUAACAAGGUAGCCGUAGGAGAACCUGCGGCUGGAUCACCUCCUU